ACUCCUACGGGAGGCAGCAGUGGGGAAUAUUGCACAAUGGGGGAAACCCUGAUGCAGCCAUGCCGCGUGUGUGAAGAAGGCCUUCGGGUUGUAAAGCACUUUCAGUUGUGAGGAAGGUGGUGUCGUUAAUAGCGGCAUCAUUUGACGUUAGCAACAGAAGAAGCACCGGCUAACUCCGUGCCAGCAGCCGCGGUAAUACGGAGGGUGCGAGCGUUAAUCGGAAUUACUGGGCGUAAAGCGCAUGCAGGUGGUUUGUUAAGUCAGAUGUGAAAGCCCGGGGCUCAACCUCGGAAUUGCAUUUGAAACUGGCAGACUAGAGGUACUGUAGAGGGGGGUAGAAUUUCAGGUGUAGCGGUGAAAUGCGUAGAGAUCUGAAGGAAUACCGGUGGCGAAGGCGGCCCCCUGGACAGAUACUGACACUCAGAUGCGAAAGCGUGGGGAGCAAACAGGAUUAGAUACCCUGG
rnacentral:rRNA from 1 species